rnacentral:lncRNA from 1 species
AACGGUUAAAAUCGAACGACAUCCUAAAAAUGGAUGAUUGGAUCCUUCAAUUGAAGAUCGGAGUUAUUGAUCUUUAUUUAGGUAGUGAAUAGAAUUUUCUAUCAAAAAUUCAACCUGUUCCGAUUCUUUUCCACCAUUAAACUAGCAAAUAUCUCAUUCCGGCCGUUAAAAGUUGUCAAUUUUGUGAGCUUUUGAUCAUAAGGUAAAGAAUAUCGAAAAAUUAUAAAAUUUGAUUUCUAGAGGUUUUAAAUGCUUGAUCUAGAUAAUAUUUAACGAUAUGGAUCGUCGAUUCGGAAGCUCUAUCAUCGAAAACAACUUAUGAGUAUGAAGGCGAUCGUAUCAUAAGAGUAUAGUAACCGAACUAUAUAUAUAUAUAUAUAUAUAUUCGAGCUUUUCGAACCUAAUUUGAGCGAGCCGAGUAAUACUCAAGCUCGGCUUGAAAUGAAUUUCGAGCCUUAUUUUUUGUUCAAACUCAAAUCAUUUAAUUUCGAGCCGAGCUCGAGCAAACCGAAUAUCGAGCCAAACGCGAGCCGAUUCGCACAUUCGCCAGCCAUAGUCAGUU